UGAGGAUUUAGCUUAAUUAAAGUAGUUGAUUUGCAUUCAAUUGAUGUAAGAUGUGAUCUUGCAAUCCUUAUC
rnacentral:tRNA from 1 species